CGCCGAAAGACCAAGGUUUCCCCGGCCAUGCUAAUCAGCCGGGGGUCAGUCGGGACCUAACACGAACCCGGAAGGGGCAGUGGAUGGGCAACGGGUCAACAUUCCCGUACCCGCACAUCGACAAAAGUGACGGGGCAACUUAGCUGGUGCGUGCUGACGGAAUAGCACGUUGAAGCGCAAGCGAUAGUACGACAAGGCCACGGCCGCGUCGAUAAUCCAGUGGCGUUGCCUCCAAGAAAAGCGAGAUGUGCGGCCCGUACCGUAAACCGACACAGGGGGUUGGGAUGAGUAUUCUAAGGCCCUCGAGAGAUUCAUGGCUAAGGAA
rnacentral:rRNA from 1 species